rnacentral:rRNA from 1 species
ACUCCUACGGGAGGCAGCAGUAAGGAAUAUUGGGCAAUGGGCGCAAGCCUGACCCAGCCAUGCCGCGUGCAGGAUUGACGGCCCUAUGGGUUGUAAACUGCUUUUGUAUGGGAAAAAACCCCCGGUCGUGUACCGGGGCUGAUGUUACCAUAAGAAUAAGCAUCGGCUAACUCCGUGCCAGCAGCCGCGGUAAUACGGAGGAUGCAAGCGUUAUCCGGAUUUAUUGGGUUUAAAGGGUGCGUAGGCGGGAUAAUAAGUCAGUGGUGAAAGCCUACAGCUUAACUGUAGAACUGCCAUUGAUACUGUUAACCUUGAGUACAAUUGAAGUGGGCGGAAUGUGUCAUGUAGCGGUGAAAUGCUUAGAUAUGACACAGAACACCGAUAGCGAAGGCAGCUCACUAAACUGUAACUGACGCUGAGGCACGAAAGCGUGGGGAUCAAACAGGAUUAGAUACCCUGGUAGUC